rnacentral:rRNA from 1 species
AGCGGACGCUGGCGGCAGGCUUAACACAUGCAAGUCGAACGCCCCGCCAGGGGAGUGGCAGACGGGUGAGUAACACGUGGGAACGUACCCUUUGGUUCGGAAUAACUUGGGGAAACUCAAGCUAAUACAGGAUAAGCCCUUAUGGGGAAAGGUUUACUGCCGAAGGAUCGGCCCGCGUCUGGUUGGCUAGUUGGUGAGGUAAUGGCUCACCAAGGCGACGAUCAGUAGCUGGUCUGAGAGGAUGAUCAGCCAACCUGGGACUGAGCAACGGCCCAGACUUCUACGGGAGGCAGCAGUGGGGAAUAUUGGACAAUGGGGGCAACCCUGAUCCAGCCAUGCCGCGUGGGUGAUGAAGGCCUUAGGGUUGUAAAGCUCUUUUACCCGGGACGAUAAUGACUGUACCGGGAGAAUAAGCCCCGGCUAACUUCGUGCCAGCCGCCGCCGUAA